rnacentral:rRNA from 1 species
CAGUAGCCGCGGGAACACGAAGGGUGCAAGCGUUACUCGGAAUUACUGGGCGUAAAGCGUGCGUGGGUGGUGGUUUAAGUCCGUUGUGAAAGCCCUGGGCUCAACCUGGGAAUUGCAGUGGAUACUGGGUCACUAGAGUGUGGUAGAGGAUAGUGGAAUUUCCGGUGUAGCAGUGAAAUGCGUAGAGAUCGGAAGGAACAUCUGUGGCGAAGGCGACUAUCUGGGCCAACACUGACACUGAGGCACGAAAGCGUGGGGAGCAAACAGGAUUAGAUACCCCAGUAGUCCCUGUCUCUUAUAC